rnacentral:sRNA from 1 species
UGUUGUUUCUGUUUGCUGCCAAAAAGGCAGCCGCUCUCUCCGGGCGCUCUCUCUUUUUUUGGGGCUCCCACGCGUGCACUCCCCUCAGAAUAAAUCGUUAAUUGGCGAUUCGCGAAAAAUAUCAAGGAAAAUGCAAAGGUUUAGCGAAAUCAACGCGGUGCAGUGCAAUACGCUAACAAGCAAGGAAAUCGGCAACAAAAAAGAUACAGUGGUGCAAUCAAGAAGCUUUCCGUGGCUUCGUGUGUGCGUGUGUGUGUGUGCUCAAGUUCAUGGUGUUUGUUUGGUUGUCAGCAACAACAACAAUAACAUAAACAACAAACACACAAAUUGACCAGGGAAAUUCUUUAAAGAAAUUAAAGUGGAAACACACUAACUCAACUAAACUUAAACGAAAGACGUAUUUUCCAAAGACCGUGCUCAAUGCAAUUCAUCAGAAAAAUAUAUUGGAAAUUUCUUAACCUUAGGCUAUCAAUCGAAACCAAGGGCUAUAAAUCCGACUUAUCAAAUAUCAAAUUAUCAAAAAAUUUAAUUUAAAAAAGUAAUAUUGAAGAAUGCAAUAAAUGGCAAAUAAAAUACCCAAAUGUACCAUAUUUCUUAGUAUCAUGAAAAUACAAAAGUCGUCGGGAAUUUCCUUGCCAAUAUAGGGCAAAAUUCAAUCUUCAGCUGUUAUCAAUCUCGAGAGAUGUUCUACAGCGCGCCAAACACGACAAACUAUGAGAUACAGAUACACGGCGUGUAUCCAAAUGUCGAACAAGCUGUUGCUAUAUAUACUCGCAUAUAUGAACAACAGAUAAGCCGAAGUUAAAGCCCCGUUUUUCCGGUGAUUGCAAUGUUGUUCAAUUUGCCCCGUCUAUCUAGAUCUGGGUGUCCAACAGUAUCUGUAUCUGUAUUUGUAUCUGUAUCUCGUGGCGUCAUCAGCGGUCGUGUUGAUAAGCACUGAUAAGCCAUCUAAUACGCUCCCUAUAUGGCCCGACUUUUCGCUCUCGCUCUGGGCGUCGAAAUCAAGAGCUAAAUUUCUGUUUUUAUUUUUUCACCGCUUUGUCAGCGUAUUUUUCUGCCUGUUUUUUUAUGUGUCUGUCUUUGCCGGCGACCUUAGACAUCAUCAAAUCAAAUUUUUUUGCCUCCAUUUUGCGCGUUUAAUUUGCCCCAGCUAUAAUUUGCAUAUACCUCAUAUAUAAAUUAGAUUCCCUCGCUGAACGACGCGAAAAUUGCUUUGUGUACGACUCUAUCAAAUAUGGAAAAGAAAACGCGAGUGCAUAAAUAAUUGCCAUCUUUAUAAUUGUAUCUAUUAUGAUUGCAUUUAAUUCAAAGCGGAAAUACUUACGGCCAUAAAAAGAAAGAGAUUUUCACAUAACAAGGAGAAAACAUCAAGCUAUUAAAAAGUAAAAACAAACUACGCAAUUAUUGAAUUUACAUACAAUACAAAGGCCAGGGUGUGGCUAAUAGAUGCAUUUUCGAACUGACAUUCGGUUUUGAAGGCCUUUAGACUAUUCCCCGUUGAGCCAUUGAGUUUAAGGUGAGUGAAGUGGGAAUUUGCUUUUGAUUUGCAACCUCUUAUCAAAAUAUAAUACACAAAAAACACGAACUCUGACAGAUAUUCUCCCCAUUAUUCACGGCAAAUUUUCACACAAUCCGUUUCAUCAACAAGCCCCUGAUAAUUGGCCAAAGUCUCGUUAAGGCCUAGUCAUGUGCCGGGUCUCUAAUAAAAAAUAAUUCGUUAACCCUACACACACUUUUUGUGGGUUCAUGGCUGUUCUGUGUGUCAGACGGGGCUUUCCAUGUCAUCGUCGGAAAAUAAAAAACUUCAACUAUAUUGAAAACUGUAAAAAUAUAUGCACAACGUAAAAAAUUGAAAAUCCUCUUGUUUCUACACCUCUCGCGCAUUGUAAAUGCCAAAACCUUACUAAAUAUUGAAACAAAAAAAAGCUGUGUUUCUGCCAGCAAUCGUUUGUUGAGUAAAAUGCAAAUAAAAUACAAAGUAAUAUGCGCGAAUUGUUUAAACUAACAACGAAACAAGAUUGAGUAGUGCUUCAUUAAAAAACAAAGAUUAUUUACGGUAAGCCGUAAAUAUGCAUUCUGAAAAUAUACGAUGAGUAAAAUUUAAUAGCAAUUUCUGGAGUUUUCAGUAGUUCUUUAAAAUAUUCAGCAAUUUACAAAAAUUUUAGAUAAUUAUUACAAUAAUCAUAGGUGUGGUUUUGUUAGUCAAUAUUAAGUAAGUUGUCUUCCUCGAAUUCGUGCUCGUCUGUAACACUCGCCAAAAAAAAAAUGCUUCAUUAACAAAUUUCGAAAAUUUGAAGAGCAAAUAAAUUUAUCUUUACUUAGCACAUUUGCCUAGAUUUCUGUGGUUAUUUUGUCAAUUGGAUAAUAUUUGUUUAUAAAAAUUUAUUUAUACAUAUGCCUUUGGCUGAGCCAAUAAAGUGGUUGUAAAUUGGGUUAAAAUUUGAAGAAAAACCCGUCCACUACGUAGUAUAUUCCAUAUUCUCUUGCGUAUUUGGAUCAUGCAUAAUCAAUGACAACAUUUGUGCCAACAAGAGUCGCAAAUAAACAUUGUUGAAUUUGCCGUCUCUGUUUGGCUUUGCAUAUUUUAGCAGGGGGCAAGAGCUAAGUAAAUGUUUGCCAAUGGCUCACAGCCAACCGGAUACUGGGUGAACCGAGCACUCUGGAUCUUUGUUAUCUAAUCCGGCGAAUUCACAUGAGGCCUCCGUAGUUCAAAGCACCGAUGAAAGUCGAUAUCGGCUGCACAUUCGUUUGAAUUCAGUAAUUACCAAUAUACCAAUCGGCCAAUAGUAUUUACACGUGCUAAGCUAUCAAUGCAAAUUGCUUAUCACAAAACCCCUAAUUAAUGCCACAAAUGAACAAAUUGCAGCAGUGAAAAAACGAAUAAAACCUAUUGGAUUGAAUUUAAAUACGAUACAAUUAAUUAUUGCUCUUCUAGCUGGGUCCAUACAAAUCAAUAGAAAACAAUUCGGAAUUAUUCGACGGAAUGAAUAAACAUUUGCUCAUUUUAUUUGCCAUUUGAAAUAUGGCUGCCAUGGCGUAUACGCAAUGUUGGACAAAUGUAAAUACGGAAAAAUCUAUUUUUGAUACCAACACAGAGGUGAAAUUGAAUUUGAAAGCUGUAAACGUUGUUAAUUAUUAUGCACAUUUGACCCACAUUUUUGGCAACACCGAUCGAGGAGGAUACACAGGUGGGUGGGUGUGGGUUGUCUGGGGUAAAAUGUCAAAAAGGAAGUUGGCAAUUAUGAGCACACAGUAGAGUUUUUGGCAACAUUUGCCAUGUGGCAUUGUCCAGCCAGGUGAUUUAUGCAUGCCAUUGUACACUCCUCUCAUUAUUGUUGUUUGGCUUUCAAUUGGUGGGGGCUGUUCGGGAUUACCGGAAUUCGAAAUUAAAUUUUCAGAGGUGUGCUUACGAGCUCAGUCAAAUUUCAAAUGCUUAAACCUUUGCCACAAUUGACACGCUUUUGGCUAUGCGUGUCUACACUUGAAACAUUUUAUGUGCAAAAUAAUAAGUCAAAUUGAGAUAAUUGUACUAAUUACUGAGGCUGCUACGCUGUUGUUAAUACUGGCAAACUGAAAGUUAAUGAAAGUUUAUUCAGCUAGUUCCCAUUUUUUCUUCCGGUCUAUGCACGUUAUCUCACACGCACGCAUAUUUGGCAAAUAUAACCCCCAACUUGGGCCAAAAUUGAGUGGAGCCGGAAACUUUUAGCAUUUGCCGAAAAUUGAAAACGUGUGCAAGAAAACUAAUUUGAUGAGCAAAUAUCGCCUCGCCCGACUACGUAAAAACUUUACUUGUAGUAAAUUCGUUACAAAUUUUUCUUUUUUUUUUACUUCUAGCUGCGAUAAAAGAUAUUUGUUUUCACUCCGGCGGUGGUGCAGUGAUUUUCGGGUCAAUAUGUUUGCAGUGGGGGGAAUUAUGCUGAUUGCCUCGCGUGCAGAUUCUGGUUAUGCAAAUGUUACGUGCAGAAUUGCCAGGGAAAUGCUAAGCCGAAAAAUUAAAAACCCAGCCAAAUUAUGCAAAUGAACUUUGUCCCCAAAGGUCAAACAACAACCGGGGAAUACAAGGUAAUUAAGCCAUUUGCUUUGAGCCUCGACACUGCAAUUAGCAGCGAGUUUUCUUCUGCUGGCCAACCCCUCGGAGCCCCGCCCCUUGGCCGUAUUAAAAUGAAGGUGUCAACGUAUUUGGCCAGCUUAAAAUUUUCCUCGAAAAUAAAAACAGAAAACAGCAAACGACAAAAAGCAAAAAAUCGUACGAAAUGAGCGGCAAAAAGCAUUGAAAUCGCUUUGGCUCGGGAAAUAUGCAAAUUUUAUGACUCGACAUUGAAACGUGGCCAUAAUUGGGCCAAAAGUCGGAGAAGUUAAAGUUUGAGGUUAGAGCUUUUGUCUUUCCGAGCAGAUUUGGCCUGUUCCUCUUGUUUUCGUUACCAAACCCCUGCAGGAAGCGCAUAAUUAGCUUGGCCACGUUGGUUGCAUUUAUUGCUGCUUGUUGGCAAAGUUUGCCCAGAGUUUGGUUAAUUUUUUGUGCGGGCCAUGCCUUUGUUGUCAUUGGGUUUUUUGGGUCGGCUAGAAGUUUAUUGCUUUCGGUUUCUGAAGGAGUAUUUUGUUUGAGUUACUGCAUUAAGCUGGCAAACAACCCCUUUAUAAAAUUAAAUGUGUAUUAAAGUUUGCGGUUGUAAGGGGAUUCUAAACUCUCAAAUCCAACUAGUGAUUUUAAAUCUUUACAAGAGUAACAAUGAGCAGGUUAACCUAUUCUAAUAAUGGAAAAUUUAGUUGCAUGACUUUUAUGAUAUCACAAAAUAUACAUCUAUGACAUAAGUGCUUUUUAAAUAAAAUUUAAUGUUAAAUACAUAUUAAACACUACAUAAGGUUUUCUCGGCUAAGGUAAAAUUUGUUAAGCGAGAAUAUCGAAUGAUUUGGUAAAUAUUUCAACGCCCCAUAUCCUCUAGGCAUUCCAAUUAUCUGUGAAAUUGACUACAAAACGUUCCACUUGGCAGUCGUCCCAGGAAAGCAAUUUGCGUUCCGAACACUUUACAAGUUGGGCUGUCUAUACCCAGCUAACCAUCUAGCCAUCCUGCAACCCCGACCAUAUUCCUGUGUAUAUAACCUUUUAAAUCUGCGUUGUCACUAGCCCCAGACACACACAAAGGGAAAAAAAUACAUAAACUGUCAUAAAGUAGCAAUAAUAAUCCUUGAGCCUAUGUCGAGAGCGUUUUACUGAAUUUUUAUUGACUCGACAAGCGGGGGGAGUCAAGAGAAAGGGAAAGUCAGCCAGGCACUCAGGCAUUCAGACAUCAAGGCAUCCAGGCAUCCGGGCGGGCCACUUCAGCUGUCAGGACAACAAGAACAAGGACGACAGGAGCUGGAGCAGGAGCAGGAGCAGCAGCAGGAGCAGGAGGAGGAGCAAUAGCCGGGGCAGACAAUGGCUCUGGGCCCAAUAAAGAGUCGUCAUCAUAAUUUCGUUCGGCCUGACACUAAAGUGCCCAGAUUCGCCUUGAAUGCGGCCCAAAGCCAACUAAACCGAAAGUAAGAGCCCGGCCGUAAAUGCCCGCUGUUUCAGUCCCAUAAUUCGCACAUUUUGACACGGCUAAUGGGCGUGGUAGCAAUCGCCUGGACACCAUGGCGUAUGCUUAAUCAUUAUAUAGCCUGCGGUUAGGCCAGUUCUUUUGUAACAUCAUCAUUAUCAUCCACUGGCUGAGUGUUGAUUUUUAUUGUUAGCAAAAUUAUUUU